rnacentral:rRNA from 1 species
GACGAACGCUGGCGGCGUGCCUAACACAUGCAAGUCGAACGGAGAAUUUUAUUUCGGUAGAAUUCUUAGUGGCGAACGGGUGAGUAACGCGUAGGCAACCUACCCUUUAGACGGGGGACAACAUUCCGAAAGGAGUGCUAAUACCGGAUGUGAUCAUCUUGCCGCAUGGCAGGAUGAAGAAGAUGGCCUCUACAAGUAAGCUAUCGCUAAAGGAUGGGCCUGCGUCUGAUUAGCUAGUUGGUAGUGUAACGGACUACCAAGGCGAUGAUCAGUAGCCGGUCUGAGAGGAUGAACGGCCACAUUGGGACUGAGACACGGCCCAAACUCCUACGGGAGGCAGCAUGGGGAAUCUUCCGCAAUGGACGAAAGUCUGACGGAGGCAACGCCGCGU